GCCUCCAUAGUUUAGUGGUAGAGUGUUAGUCUUGUAAACUAAAAGUAUGUAGUUCGAUCCUGCAUGGGGGCA
rfam:Nelumbo nucifera unplaced genomic scaffold scaffold00092, whole genome shotgun sequence